rnacentral:tRNA from 1 species
UGGCUUAGUUGGUUAAAGCACCGGACUAGCUAUACGGAGACGUGGGAUCGAAUCCCAC